UAGGGAAUCUUCCACAAUGGACGCAAGUCUGAUGGAGCAACGCCGCGUGAGUGAAGAAGGUUUUCGGAUCGUAAAGCUCUGUUGUUGGUGAAGAAGGAUAGAGGCAGUAACUGGUCUUUAUUUGACGGUAAUCAACCAGAAAGUCACGGCUAACUACGUGCCAGCAGCCGCGGUAAUACGUAGGUGGCAAGCGUUGUCCGGAUUUAUUGGGCGUAAAGCGAGCGCAGGCGGAAUGAUAAGUCUGAUGUGAAAGCCCACGGCUCAACCGUGGAACCGCAUCGGAAACUGUCAUUCUUGAGUGCAGAAGAGGAGAGUGGAACUCCAUGUGUAGCGGUGGAAUGCGUAGAUAUAUGGAAGAACACCAGUGGCGAAGGCGGCUCUCUGGUCUGCAACUGACGCUGAGGCUCGAAAGCAUGGGUAGCGAACAGGAUUAGAUACCCUGGUAGUCCAUGCCGUAAACGAUGAGCGCUAGGUGUUGGGGACUUUCCGAUUCUCAGUGCCGCAGCAAACGCAUUAAGCGCUCCGCCUGGGGAGUACGACCGCAAGGUUGAAAC
rnacentral:rRNA from 1 species